CACACACACACACACACACACACACACACACGUAUUCAUCCACGUGUAGUGUCCAUCAGCAAGCAGCAUGUAUUGAGGGCAAGUUCCAAAUCUGAACUUUAUUAGCCUUGGCAUCUGGUUUUGUAAUCUUUGCAAAAGGGGAGGGAGAAGGUUUCCCCGUUUUU